rnacentral:lncRNA from 1 species
AUUUGGCUUUGGAUACGAUGUUCUUUAAUUUUGAUGGUGGCACCACAUGAUGUGGCAACAAAGUGUCUUGAGAUAGCCCAAGAGGGUGAAAAUUUUAAAUUUUUGCAUAAUAGCAACCAAAAGCUCUCAAGCAAGUAUUCCUGUUGGCCAAAGUCUAGAAGUUGUAGCCCCAAAAGUCUCCCGAAUUUUAUGACAUCUACACUUGAAGACUUUUGAAGAAUUCAAAUCUCAGCCUGUUCAUCACGUUUUGUUGACCCAAAAUGGUAGUGCUCAUUCCUGGCUCAGUUGAUGAUGAUGAUGAUGA